UACGUAGGGUGCGAGCGUUAAUCGGAAUUACUGGGCGUAAAGCGUGCGCAGGCGGUUUUGUAAGCCAGAUGUGAGAGCCCCGGGCUUAACCUGGGAAUGGCAUUUGGGACUGCAAGGCUAGAGUGCGGCAGAGGAGACUGGAAUUCCUGGUGUAGCAGUGAAAUGCGUAGAUAUCAGGAGGAAUACCGAUGGCGAAGGCAGGUCUCUGGGCUGACACUGACGCUCAUGCACGAAAGCGUGGGGAGCAAACAGG
rnacentral:rRNA from 1 species